GGAGUUAGCCGGUGCUUCUUCUGUGAGUGAUGUCCUUCCUGCCGGCUAUUAACCCGCAGGCCUUCUUCCUCACUGAAAGUGCUUUACAACCCGAAGGCCUUCUUCACACACGCGGCAUGGCUGGAUCAGGGUUGCCCCCAUUGUCCAAUAUUCCCCACUGCUGCCUCCCGUAGGAGUCUGGGCCGUGUCUCAGUCCCAGUGUGGCUGAUCAUCCUCUCAGACCAGCUACGGAUCGUCGCCUUGGUGAGCCGUUACCUCACCAACCAGCUAAUCCGACAUAGGCUCAUCCGAUAGCGCGAGGCCCGAAGGUCCCCCGCUUUCCCCCGUAGGGCGUAUGCGGUAUUAGCCUGGGUUUCCCCAGGUUAUCCCCCACUACCGGGCAGAUUCCCUAUGCAUUACUCACCCGUCCGCCGCUCGCCACCAGGGAGCAAGCUCCCCGUGCUGCCGCUCGACUUGCAUGUGUUAGGCCUGCCGCCAGCGUUCAAUCUGAGCCAGGAUCAAACUCUGA
rnacentral:rRNA from 1 species